rnacentral:lncRNA from 1 species
CGAGGGAUACACCAUGUUAACCCUUCCGUCCAGCCACGUCCAAGGUGUUCUGCUCUGAGACAACGGAACAGCAUUAAGCAGUCACCUCCAGAAGGGCAGGAGAUACAUCCGUCUUACUCCCUAAUGGAUUCCUGACACUCAGCACACGGCCUGACAUUCAAAAAAGGACUCGGU